rnacentral:lncRNA from 1 species
CUACCCAUUGCCGGCUUGUCUGAGGAGGCCUCUAGUGAGGCUUGUGUUUCAGUUCAUGUGGAGUGGCAGGUGCGAGUGGGUCGCCAGGGCAUGCAUGAUCUGUCCCAUCGGGGAGGGAGGUAGGGGGGUACCACAUUUCCCCCUCAAGCUGGACACAAUUUUUGUUUCUUUCUUGUUAACGGAGCUUGCUCAUCCAGUGAUACACCCGUCCGGUUACCUCCUGCGGGUGUUCUUCUCGUAUCAGGCGAGAAGUGUAAUGGUGUGGUCAAACACGGGUCCUCGGGCGGAACAGCUGCCGUGGCACCGUGCGCACCCUGAGGUUGAAGUUGCCCGAGUAGGUUUAGAUCACAGGCACCUGUACGAGGAGGUCAGAAAGGCAGGGAGUCCGGCACCUGUAGUGGGCAUCUCGGAAGUGGUCUGGGAGGGAGUGCAGGCGCGGGGUCUGGACAACAGGCUCAAGGACCUGAAUUGGUUGAGCCUCCAUAAGUGCUUGCCGGUACGUUCCAUCAUGUACCGGUAUAGUUUGGUGCAAUCCCCCACCUGUCCAAGAUCCUCUUGUGGCAGGGAGGAGACUGUGCGCCAUGUCUUUUGGGACUGUGCCUUUGCCGGAGUAGUAUGGGCUAGGGCAUGGGUGUUAGGUUUGGUAAGGGGGGAUUUUGUAUUGACGUGGGCCAGGUUAGAGAGAGGUGUAGGGAGAGCGAGAGGGAUGGAUAGGGACAGGUUUCUGCUCUGGCUUCUCAUGAGUAUCUUUAAACGGGGGCUGUGGGAAGCCAGGCAGAACAUGGUGAAGACAGGGAGAGAUUGUGGGGUGGAAGGGAUAGUGAGGAGGAUGGAAGGAGAUUUGAGGGGGAGGAUGAAGAGGGAGGAGAGGAAGUGGGGGCAGCAAGCUGCUCGGGAGAGGUGGAAGGGGGGUUUAGGGCUGGGUGUCAUUUAGAUUUGCAAGGGGAUAGAUUAGGGACGGGGAGAUAGGGAAAGGUAGUUUGUAGGGUGACGGGGAGGGAAGAUGCUCCCCCGAGGUUUUGUUUGGGGUUUUUGUUUAGUUAAAUUAGUUA